GUGGGGAAUAUUGGGCAAUGGGGGAAACCCUGACCCAGCAACGCCGCGUGAAGGAAGAAGGUUUUCGGAUCGUAAACUUCUAUCCUUGGUGAAGAUAAUGACGGUAGCCAAGAAGGAAGCCCCGGCUAACUACGUGCCAGCAGCCGCGGUAAUACGUAGGGGGCAAGCGUUGUCCGGAAUGAUUGGGCGUAAAGGGCGCGUAGGCGGCCUGGUAAGUCUGGAGUGAAAGUCCUGCUUUUAAGGUGGGAAUUGCUUUGGAUACUGUCGGGAUUGAGUGCAGGAGAGGGAAGCGGAAUUCCCGGUGUAGCGGUGAAAUGCGUAGAGAUCGGGAGGAACACCAGUGGCGAAGGCGACUUACUGGACUGUAACUGACGCUGAGGCGCGAAAGUGUGGGGAGCAAACAGGAUUAGAUACCCUGGUAGUCC
rnacentral:rRNA from 1 species